GUGCUCACUUUGGCAGCACAUAUACUAAAACUGGAACAAUACAGAGAUUAGCAUGGCCCCUGAGCAAGGAUUAAAAGAAUAAAAGUAAAAUGUCUCGUAAGAUC